GUCCUCCGGGGCGCAGCAGUGGGGAAUAUUGCACAAUGGGGAAACCCUGAUGCAGCAACGCCGCGUGAGUGAAGAAGUAUUUCGGUAUGUAAAGCUCUAUCAGCAGGGAAGAAGAAAGACGGUACCUGACUAAGAAGCCCCGGCUAACUACGUGCCAGCAGCCGCGGUAAUACGUAGGGGGCAAGCGUUAUCCGGAUUUACUGGGUGUAAAGGGAGCGUAGACGGCCAUGCAAGUCUGAUGUGAAAACCCGGGGCUCAACCCCGGGACUGCAUUGGAAGCUGUGCGGCUGGAGUGUCGGAGAGGG
rnacentral:rRNA from 1 species